UCCACUACACCCACAUGUACCCUAACAUACUUGAGUGCGAGUGUCUCUCUCUGUCGCGCUCUCUCAUGAUACAUUAACUGAGCGAACUGACAGCAUCUAGUGAGUGCAGGGUGUAUUGGAUACACUCAGAGUCGUAUCCACAGAUAGCUAGAUCAGUGCGUCCACACUCUAAAUAUUAUGCUCGAUUAUAGCAGUUUGACAAUUGAGUUGCUGCCAUCGCUUCAUCGAUGGAGCCACUAGCAUCAGUGUUGCCAAACCUUAUGGACAUGUCAAAUCUAUGUUAUUUUCGUAGAUUAUCGGAUGUUUUCGUCCUUUCUCGUGAAAUCUUAGACGUAUAAAUAGCUUGGCUCGGGAAUAAUCGUCCUCUUUCUGUCCGUGACUAGUAACCAGCUUAGUAGUGCGCGACGGGUUCAAUAUCGGUAAAGUUAGGUUAGAAAAAAUAGUAACAUGUGGUGUAAAUUGUGAUUUAAUUCCUUGUUUAAUUCCAGUGAAAAGUUUAUUUAAAACCCUAUGAAAAGGGAACUUAAAAGUAUUUGACCUACUAUUUAGUAGUACGAUACAAGACACGUUAAAAAUAAUAGUACAAUUUAUUAGAAAGGACGCGCAUUAAGUGUAAAAGAAAGCUAGCAAGAAAAAGGUCCAUCUAGGGCCUUUUUCUUUUUGUUCUUAGGAACACGGUUCCAAAUUAUCUCCCACAGAAGACUACACGGAACCAAAACCACCGAUCGUUAUCCGUCACUGGGUCGAGUGGACACGGACAGGAAGCCCAGCCGCGUGCCGGAAGAAUCGUCGCCAUCGCUAGUUCGACAUUCACACCGGCCAUUGUUAAUUGCCGAGCGGGACAGGAUUGUCGCCAUUGUUAUUUCGACAUACUCGCCGGCCAUUGUUAACGGCCUAGCAAGGCAGGAUCGCCGCCAACACUGAUUCCCUAUUGUCGUCCUCCUUUGUAUCCAUCCGGGCAACGCACCGUGUUGGACAGUUGCAAGUUCCGGACAGGAAUAGGAAGCAGCGAUCGUCAUCUUGGUCUUCAUAUGCUGCCGCUAAAAUUACCGUUCGGGAGUGGGCAAUUGUGAAUGAUCAGUCCACACCAAUUGAACGACCACGUCAUCGUCGAGUUAUCAUCGUUACGAAGUCAAAACCACCAGGACAUAUCGAACGUCAACGGGGACAAUUCACCUGGUCGACCGGGUUCAACACAUCAUCAUCAGGAAGCAUCGCCGGAUACCUCAGGUACAUGUGUGACGUCACAGUUAGGAAGUAGGAAGAAAUAGUAUAGUUUAGGUAUAAGUGAUGAUGUUUUAGGAUUAAGGUAUAGGAGAAUAAGGAUAGGGAUUAAAUUAAUUUACAUCAGAUUUGCUUUGUUUUCUAUAUUUCCGUUUGCGGGCUUUAAAGUGCUUCCAUCCCUCGGUUGUUUAAUAGUCCACUGCAAAGAAGACGAUUAAUUGAGCUUUUGAGCACCCCUCAUUUACGAGAAACUGUUUUCAGCCUGAGUAGUGAAACAUUGUCGGAGUUGGUGAGCAUCUUCUCUACCGGUCAUGCUCAUUGAUUGAGAACCUUUUAGGUGUGUGCGUUAACUCGGUCUACGUAGCGGUAAACGACCCUGUAAAUCAUUGCUAGGGGGUGGUUUCCACCCACCACAUAGUG